AGAGUUUGAUCCUGGCUCAGGAUGAACGCUGGCGGCGUGCUUAACACAUGCAAGUCGAACGAGCCUUCGGGCUAGUGGCGGACGGGUGAGUAACGCGUGAGAAUCUGCCCUCAGGAGGGGGAUAACGGCUGGAAACGGCCGCUAAUACCCCAUAUGCCGCGAGGUGAAAUGAGAAAUCGCCUGAGGAUGAGCUCGCGUCUGAUUAGCUAGUUGGUGGGGUAAGAGUCUACCAAGGCAUCGAUCAGUAGCUGGUCUGAGAGGAUGAUCAGCCACACUGGGACUGAGACACGGCCCAGACUCCUACGGGAGGCAGCAGUGGGGAAUUUUCCGCAAUGGGCGCAAGCCUGACGGAGCAACGCCGCGUGAGGGAUGAAGGCCUCUGGGCUGUAAACCUCUUUUCUCAAGGGAGAAGAACUGACGGUACUUGAGGAAUAAGCCACGGCUAAUUCCGUGCCAGCAGCCGCGGUAAUACGGGAGUGGCAAGCGUUGUCCGGAAUUAUUGGGCGUAAAGCGUCCGCAGGCGGUCUUGAAAGUCUGUUGUUAAAGCGUGGAGCUCAACUCCAUUUCAGCAAUGGAAACUAGAAGACUAGAGUGUGGUAGGGGCAGAGGGAAUUCCCGGUGUAGCGGUGAAAUGCGUAGAUAUCGGGAAGAACACCAGUGGCGAAGGCGCUCUGCUGGGCCAUAACUGACGCUCAUGGACGAAAGCCAGGGGAGCGAAAGGGAUUAGAUACCCCUGUAGUCCUGGCCGUAAACGAUGAACACUAGGUGUCGGGGGAAUCGACCCCCUCGGUGUCGUAGCCAACGCGUUAAGUGUUCCGCCUGGGGAGUACGCACGCAAGUGUGAAGCUCAAAGGAAUUGACGGGGGCCCGCACAAGCGGUGGAGUAUGUGGUUUAAUUCGAUGCAACGCGAAGAACCUUACCAGGGUUUGACAUCCUGCGAAUCUUUUGGAAACAGAAGAGUGCCUUCGGGAGCGCAGAGACAGGUGGUGCAUGGCUGUCGUCAGCUCGUGUCGUGAGGUGUUGGGUUAAGUCCCGCAACGAGCGCAACCCACGUCUUUAGUUGCCAGCAUUGAGUUGGGCACUCUAGAGAGACCGCCGGUGAUAAACCGGAGGAAGGUGUGGAUGACGUCAAGUCAUCAUGCCCCUUACAUCCUGGGCUACACACGUACUACAAUGCUACGGACAGAGGGCAGCAAACUCGCGAGAGCUAGCAAAUCCCAUAAACCGUGGCUCAGUUCAGAUCGUAGGCUGCAACUCGCCUACGUGAAGGAGGAAUCGCUAGUAAUCGCAGGUCAGCAUACUGCGGUGAAUACGUUCCCGGGCCUUGUACACACCGCCCGUCACACCAUGGAAGUUGGCCAUGCCCGAAGUCGUUACUCCAACCCUUGUGGAGGAGGACGCCGAAGGUGGGGCUGAUGACUGG
rnacentral:rRNA from 1 species